UGCAGUUUUGAAUCACAUCCUUGAUGAAAGGGGAAGUCAUUGAAGAAGGAGAGGGAUUCUUCCAAGAAUUUGUUUUUGGCUAUUAGAAGAGCCAUGAAGAAAAGCUCUGGUUACUAUCUGUGCACAGAGAUGCAUUUAGAGUCAUUCUUUCUUGGAAUGGAGCAUCUGUAUUGAAACAUGCUCACCGUCAGCUGCAUGAUGAACAGCAAAGAACCUUCUCUGCAUGUGGAUAAAAGCCAAGCUCAGAUCUGCUAGUGCAAGGUGUUUUUUUUUCUCUGGACAACCAGUUCAGUCUAACUAUACACAUUGUGAAAAUACCCCAGAUAUCAGAGUGAGCAGCAAUAGAUGGAAAAUGAAGGAAGAUUUGGACUGCUGUCAUCCUUCUGAGAACGGCUGUGUGCCUCCUCCAGCAGAGCAGCUAACACACAGCAGCUGUGCUCUCAUCCUGCAAGGUUCUCAGAGGCCUGCUGAGAGAGGAAAAGAUUUGGGACUACUUUUGCUCACAACUACCAGUGCACAGCAUCAAUGUCUUCUGAAACUCACUGGAAGAUUUGACCACAACUUCAAGGACACAUCUGCUCUAUAUUGGAAGCCAAGGAAAGCCAUUAAUCAUUCAAAAUUUGCUGAAGUGUUUGUGAACUGAGCACUCCUGAAUCAGAACAGAAUUUCUAGAGAAACCUGAGCCCAGGUAAGUUUUCUUUUGUUGAUUUUUUUUGUGAAAGUUGUUUUGUACCAACAUCCAAUUUAAGUCAGUUCUUCCUGGUCAGCCUUUCUGUAGCCAUCUCCUACAGAAAGAACCUCCUUGCAGGGUUAGCAGUGAGG
rnacentral:lncRNA from 1 species